ACCAAAGAGGGGGACCUUCGGGCCUCUUGCCAUCGGAUGUGCCCAGAUGGGAUUAGCUAGUAGGUGGGGUAACGGCUCACCUANGCNACUAUCCCUAGCUGGUCUGAGAGGAUGACCAGCCACACUGGAACUGAGACACGGUCCAGACUCCUACGGGAGGCAGCAGUGGGGAAUAUUGCACAAUGGGCGCAAGCCUGAUGCAGCCAUGCCGCGUGUAUGAAGAAGGCCUUCGGGUUGUAAAGUACUUUCAGCGGGGAGGAAGGGAGUAAAGUUAAUACCUUUGCUCAUUGACGUUACCCGCAGAAGAAGCACCGGCUAACUCCGUGCCAGCAGCCGCGGUAAUACGGAGGGUGCAAGCGUUAAUCGGAAUUACUGGGCGUAAAGCGCACGCAGGCGGUUUGUUAAGUCAGAUGUGAAAUCCCCGGGCUCAACCUGGGAACUGCAUCUGAUACUGGCAAGCUUGAGUCUCGUAGAGGGGGGUAGAAUUCCAGGUGUAGCGGUGAAAUGCGUAGAGAUCUGGAGGAAUUCCGGUGGCGAAGGCGGCCCCCUGGACGAAAACU
rnacentral:rRNA from 1 species